rnacentral:piRNA from 1 species
UCUGUCUUACUUUGGGCCCGACACCUC